CUGCGCCUGCGCAGCGCGGGCCGCGGCCCCGGCGUUCUCGUUGCUAUGCCCUUUUGUGGCUGUCGCGACCCGCCCCGGCAACGCCCUCCUGUCUCAGUGCCUUCUCGGUGCUCUCGGCUUUGGGACCCAUUAAUGAAGUGUGAACGCAGAUAACGCCUCGCGUCAAAGCUCGUGAGAAGGGCCCCGAAAAUGAGUUAUUGCGAAACAGCAGAUGUCUGGCGAACCUGCCUGUGUAAGGGCACUUGAAAUGCCAUCCCAGGGCUGGCAGUCCUGGGUACUGUAAGAAAGCAAGCAGAGCAAGCCAUGAGCAGGCCAGGAUAAGCAGCACUCCUCCAUGGCCGCUACAUCAGCUCCUGCCUCCAGGUUUCUGCCAUUUGACAUCCUGUCCUGACUUCCUCUAAUGAUAAACUAUACUGUAGAACUGUAAGUGAAAUAAACCUUUUCCUCUCAUAGUU